UCCAACAAGGGGGAGGCUUUGAAUUUCUAAAACUUGUAGGAUCUACUCGCAGUCGAAAUCUUGCGUUGCUUCAGUGUCCCAGCACUGGAUACACCCUUGCCUAUAUGAAAGAUCCAUCGACGAUGAUUGGACAGGCUACAAUCUACAUACGUCCACUUCAACAGGAUCUACCCUUAGAUUGUGAGAGCUCACGUCCUGCCUCUGGUCCAGUCAUCCCCUGCAUCACUUGUCAGAAGGAAGUUCCCUUUUCAGAGAUGAAGCUGCACAGAUUGAGCUGCAAUGGGACACCCAUGCAGGAAUCAGAAAGAGAACAAGAGGAGG